GACGAACGCUGGCGGCGUGCUUAAUACAUGCAAGUCGAACGGAAAGGCCUUGCUCUUGUGGGGUGCUCGAGAGGCGAACGGGUGAGUAUCACGUGUGUAACCUGCCCUUUACUUUGGGAUACCUUCAUGAAACUGGGGUGAUUACCGCAUAUGAGCUCCUUAAACAUGGGGGGGGUUGGAAAAUUUCGGCGGUUCGGCAUGGACUCGCGGUUACUCAGCUUGUUGGUUGGGUAGUGGCUUACCGAGGCUAUGAGGGGUAGCCGGCCUGAGAGGGUGACCGGCCACAUUGGCACUGCGAUACCGGCCAUAGUCCUACGUGAGGCAGCGGUGAAGAUUAUUGCACGAUGGGCGGAAGCCUGAUACAGCAACUCCGCGUGCGAGAUGACGGCCUGUGGGUUGGAACCCGCUUUCGACUGUGACGAAGAGUGAGUGACGGUAAUGGGUAAAAAAGCACCGGCUAACUACGUG
rnacentral:rRNA from 1 species